AUUGUGAGUAGAUCAAUAAAGAAUCGAUUACUCUGAGUAAGAGAAGAUGACAUCCUAUGUAUUCUCAUCUCUAAAUAACUCAGAAAGUCUUUGGCCAAAGUAGUAUGAAGAUUAGAUAGGAUUUCUAAUGCUUCAUUUGAGUUAUCAUUGAUUGAUAAAGAAUCAAUAAGAAUAUGUAUUUGAGUUUGACAUAAUUUCAUAUUCAUGAAUAUAUUCGAGAUGCAGGA
rnacentral:lncRNA from 1 species